rnacentral:rRNA from 1 species
AGAGUUUGAUCCUGGCUCAGAUUGAACGCUGGCGGAAUGCUUUACACAUGCAAGUCGAACGGCAGCACGGGAGCUUGCUCCUGGUGGCGAGUGGCGAACGGGUGAGUAAUGCAUCGGAACGUACCUUUUAGUGGGGGAUAACUAUCCGAAAGGAUGGCUAAUACCGCAUACGCCCUGAGGGGGAAAGCAGGGGAUCGCAAGACCUUGCGCUAAUAGAGCGGCCGAUGUUCGAUUAGCUAGUUGGUGAGGUAAAGGCUCACCAAGGCGACGAUCGAUAGCUGGUCUGAGAGGAUGAUCAGCCACACUGGAACUGAGACACGGUCCAGACUCCUACGGGAGGCAGCAGUGGGGAAUUUUGGACAAUGGGGGCAACCCUGAUCCAGCCAUUCCGCGUGAGUGAAGAAGGCCUUCGGGUUGUAAAGCUCUUUCGGCAGGAACGAAACGGUGGUUACUAAUACUAGCUACUAAUGACGGUACCUGAAGAAGAAGCACCGGCUAACUACGUGCCAGCAGCCGCGGUAAUACGUAGGGUGCGAGCGUUAAUCGGAAUUACUGGGCGUAAAGCGUGCGCAGGCGGUUUUGUAAGACAGAUGUGAAAUCCCCGGGCUUAACCUGGGAACUGCGUUUGUGACUGCAAGACUUGAGUGCGGCAGAGGGGGGUGGAAUUCCGCGUGUAGCGGUGAAAUGCGUAGA